rnacentral:tRNA from 1 species
UUCGAAGAACCACCCAUAAAAGAGUGCCGGGGCUUCUCCCGUUU